CCUACGGGUGGCAGCAGUGAGGAAUAUUGGUCAAUGGACGCAAGUCUGAACCAGCCAUGCCGCGUGAAGGAUGACGGCUCUAUGAGUUGUAAACUGCUUUUGUACGAGGGUAAACGCAGAUACGCGUAUCUGUCUGAAAGUAUCGUACGAAUAAGGAUCGGCUAACUCCGUGCCAGCAGCCGCGGUAAUACGGAGGAUGCAAGCGUUAUCCGGAUUUAUUGGGUUUAAAGGGUGCGUAGGCGGUCUGAUAAGUUAGAGGGUAAAUGCCGAGGCUCAACCCCGGAACUGCCUCUGAUACUGUUCGGCUAGAGAGUAGUUGCGGUAGGCGGAAUGUAUGGUGUAGCGGUGAAAUGCUUAGAGAUCAUACAGAACACCGAUUGCGAAGGCAGCUUACCAAGCUACUUCUGACGUUGAGGCACGAAAGCGUGGGUAGCAAACAGGAUUAGAUACCCUUGUAGUC
rnacentral:rRNA from 1 species